UACGGAGGGUGCAAGCGUUGCUCGGAAUUACUGGGCGUAAAGCGCGUGUAGGCGGUCUCGUGUGUCUGGCGUGAAAGCCCCGGGCUCACCCCGGGAAGUGCGUUGGAAACUGCGAGACUAGAGUUCCGGAGAGGAAGGUGGAAUUCCAGGUGUAGCGGUGAAAUGCGUAGAUAUCUGGAAGAACACCGGUGGCGAAGGUGGCCUUCUGGACGGUGAAUGACUUUGAGACGCGAAAGCGUGGGGAGCAAACAGG
rnacentral:rRNA from 1 species